AAACUUUUAACAACGGAUCUCUUGGUUCUGGCAUCGAUGAAGAACGCAGCGAAAUGCGAUAAGUAAUGUGAAUUGCAGAAUUCAGUGAAUCAUCGAAUCUUUGAACGCACAUUGCGCCCGCCAGCAUUCCUGGCGGGCAUGCCUGUUCGAGCGUCAUU
rnacentral:rRNA from 1 species